GAUGAACGCUGGCGGCGUGCCUAAUACAUGCAAAUCGAGCGAACGGACGAGAAGCUUGCUUCUCUGAUGUUAGCGGCGGACGGGUGAGUAACACGUGGAUAACCUACCUAUAAGACUGGGAUAACUUCGGGAAACCGUAGCUAAUACCGGAUAAUAUUUUGAACCGCAUGGUUCAAAAGUGAAAGACGGUCUUGCUGUCACUUAUAGAUGGAUCCGCGCUGCAUUAUCUAGUUGGUAAGGUAACGGCUUACCAAGGCAACGAUGCAUAGCCGACCUGAGAGGGUGAUCGGCCACACUGGAACUGAGACACGGUCCAGACUCCUACGGGAGGCAGCAGUAGGGAAUCUUCCGCAAUGGGCGAAAGCCUGACGGAGCAACGCCGCGUGAGUGAUGAAGGUCUUCGGAUCGUAAAACUCUGUUAUUAGGGAAGAACAUAUGUGUAAGUAACUGUGCACAUCUUGACGGUACCUAAUCAGAAAGCCACGGCUAACUACGUG
rnacentral:rRNA from 1 species